AGAAUCAACGCUGGCGGCGUGCCUAACACAUGCAAGUCGCACGAGAAAGGGACUUCGGUCCUGAGUACAGUGGCGCACGGGUGAGUAACACGUGAAUAAUCUACCUCCGAGUGGGGAAUAACUGAGAGAAAUCUUAGCUAAUACCGCAUAACACUUACGAGUCAAAGCAGCAAUGCGCUUGGAGAGGAGUUCGCGGCAGAUUAGUUAGUUGGCGGGGUAAUGGCCCACAAGACGAUGAUCUGUA
rnacentral:rRNA from 1 species